UGAAUACGAGACGCUAAGGCGUUGAAGUAGUGUAUGUCAUACUUCCAAGAAAAGCUUGCACUGUCAUAGAUAAAAAACGCCUGUACCAUAACCGACACAGGUGGGUAGGUAGAGUAUACUAAGGGGCGCGAGAUAACUCUCUCUAAGGAACUCGGCAAAAUAACUCCGUAACUUCGGGAGAAGGAGUGCCUUAUUUAUAAGGCUGCAAUAACAAGAUCCAAGCAACUGUUUAUCAAAACACAGGUCUCCGCUAAGUCGUAAGACGAUGUAUGGGGCUGACGCCUGCCCAGUGCCAGAAGGUUAAAGAAGUUGGUUAGCAAUAGCGAAGCUGAUAACUGAAGCCCUGGUGAACGGCGGCCGUAACAAUAACGGUCCUAAGGUAGCGAAAUUCCUUGUCGGGUAAGUUCCGACCCGCACGAAAGGCGUAAUGAUUUGGAUACUGUCUCGGAGAGGGGCUCGGUGAAAUAGACUUGUCUGUGAAGAUGCGGACUACCUGCACCAGGACAGAAAGACCCUAUGAAGCUUUACUGUAACUUGAAAUUGAAAUUGGACUUUAUUCGCGCAGUAUAGGUGGGAGGCGUUGAUUGUAAUCUUGCGGGAUUAUUGGAGCCAUCAGUGAGAUACCACCCUUGUAAUGUUAGAUUUCUAACUUUGAAUCAUUAUCUGGUCAAAGAACAGUUUCAGGCGGGCAGUUUGACUGGGGCGGUCGCCUCCUAAACGGUAACGGAGGCGUACAAAGGUUUCCUCUGAACGGUUAGAAAUCGUAUCUAGAGUGUAAAGGCAUAAGGAAGCUUGACUGUGAGACCUACAAGUCGAGCAGGGACGAAAGUCGGUCUUAGUGAUCUGACGGUACUGAGUGGAAAGGCCGUCACUCAACGGAUAAAAGUUACUCUAAGGAUAACAGGCUGAUCUCCCCCAAGAGUUCACAUCGACGGGGAGGUUUGGCACCUGGAUGUCGGCUCAUCGCAUCCUGGGGCGGUAGUAUGUCCCAAGGGUUGGGCUGUUCGCCCAUGAAAGCGGUACGCGAGCUGGGUUCAGAACGUCGUGAGACAGUUCGGUCCAUAUCCGGUGUAGGCGUUAGAAUAUUGAGAGGAGCCUUCUUUAGUACGAGAGGACCGAGAAGGACAUACCUCUGGUGUACCAGUUAUCGUGCCAACGGUAAACGCUGGGUAGCUAUGUAUGGAGUGGAUAACCGCUGAAAGCAUCUAAGUGGGAAGCCCACCUCAAGAUAAG
rnacentral:rRNA from 1 species